rnacentral:rRNA from 1 species
CUACGGGAGGCAGCAGUGAGGAAUAUUGGACAAUGGGCGGGAGCCUGAUCCAGCCAUGCCGCGUGCAGGAAGACGGUCCUAUGGAUUGUAAACUGCUUUUGUACGGGAAGAACAAGGGGCACGUGUGCCCCUCUGACGGUACCGUAAGAAUAAGGAUCGGCUAACUCCGUGCCAGCAGGCCGC